UCUGCACAUAGAACUACAUCAUUAAUACCAUGGGCCGAUUUUUCAAACUCAAAAAAAAAAAUUCGCCUCCGUAUGACACACCCUAUUACAGUAAGUCUUCCAUAAACUAUGGAAUUCCGAAAACUUCAGCAUUGUAAUACUGUUCACUUUAUUUCAGACAUAAAGGUGAGAGUGGACGGAUGUAAGAAAGGACCGUUAUGGUAACAUCAGGAGGCCAUCCCACACAAACAUCUCCCACCACAACUUAGUAUUAAAGCUCUAUAAAACAAGAGGCAGAACAAUUCCUCACAGCUGUGCAAUAAGUCAGUACAGUAUGAGGAUUAAAGAACAUUUUUCCGAGAACAUUGUAACCAUAAUUAAGAUACCACGCGAGCGUCAGCCAUUACCACCACUGUGAGGAACGCACCAUGUGGGGAACGCACCAUGUGGGGUGCGUCUGCUCACCGUGGUCAUGCACCUCCACUGUGGAUACCCUACAUAUCACCACCCAGAAUAGGAGAAAAUCACUGUAUACUUGAGAAGUUUCGCUGUCGCUACGUGGAGUGACGUCUUAAUACCAGGCGUGGAACCAAUACUGGUAUGAUUACCUGGGAAGUAUCCCAUCUGCUCAUCAAGAGAAGUGUAAUGAAAAUAAUAGUUGUUCUGAUGAAGACCAACUCUUUUUGUAAUGUAACAGGUGAUGUUAUACUGAUGUGUUUGGUGUUAUACUGAGAAGGAAUGACCGAGGUAAGGAGGUCAAUGAUUGUUAUGAGGAAUGAGUAUGUUAAUGAUACGCAAUUAAUGUAAGACAUAUUGAUGGGCAGUGUGACUAAAAUCAUAGUUGUUCUUCUGAGGAAGGCCAACUCUUCUUGUAUUUUGACGGGAUGCAAUGUGUUUUACAAGGAAUAAAUUAGUUAAGAUAU